rnacentral:rRNA from 1 species
UACGUAGGGCGCAAGCGUUGUCCGGAAUUAUUGGGCGUAAAGAGCUCGUAGGCGGUUUGUCGCGUCUGCUGUGAAAACUCGGGGGCUCAACCCCGAGACGUCGGUGGAAACCACCUGGCUAGAGUCCGGAAGAGGAGAGUGGAAUUCCUGGUGUAGCGGUGAAAUGCGCAGAUAUCAGGAAGAAUAUCCGUGGCGAAGGCGGCUCUCUGGGACGGUACUGACGCUGAGACGCGAAAAGCGUGGGGGAGCGAAACAGGG